AGCUGUUUGGCUGACCGGAAAGCAAGUGUUUUGAAAGCACUAUAUAAAGGUUCGAAUCCUUUGACAGUUU
rnacentral:tRNA from 1 species